ensembl:lncRNA novel transcript, antisense to ZNF630
GUCACUGAUCACAUAGACCCGCAGCACUCAGCCAGGCCCCUCACCCCGGCUCUGCUCUCAAGCCGGGCUUGGCUCCCCGCCUGCCCAAAUGCGUUCAACAUCCCCCGAAAGGCCAUUUCCCUUCCAGUCUUCCCGGAGAGAUGUCAGGGUGACGAGGGAGCUUAUCUUUCGGUGGCUCCGAAACAGCCACGAAGCCGAGCUCUACCAGUAACAAAAAUGGCGUCAUUCCGCCAGCGCCAGGACCUCUGUCGCUGGCCGUGGUCUCGCACUGCUUCUGGAGGCUCCCAUUCCAGCCAGAGGAGAGGAAGUCAGGGACCCCAAACGGAGGGACUGGCUGAAGCCAUGGCAGAAGAACGUGAAUUGUGAAGAUUUCAUGGACAUUUAUUAGUUCCCCAAAUUAAUACUUUUAUAAUUUCUUAUGCCUGUCUUUACUGCAAUCUCUAAACAUAAAUUGUAAAUAUUUCAUGGACACUUAUCACUUCUUCAAUCAAUACCCUUGUGAUUUCCUAUGCCUGUCUUUACUUUAAUCUCUUAAUCCUGUCAGCUGAGGAGGAUGUAUGUCGCCUCAGGACAAUAUGAUAAUUGCGUUAACUGCACAAAUUGUACAGCAUGUAUGUUUGAGCAAUAUGAAAUGUGGGCACCUUGAAAAAAGAACAGGAUAACAGCAAUUGUUCGGGGAAUAAGAGAGAUAGCCUUAAACUCUGAAUGCCGGUGAGCCGGAUGGAACAGAGCCAUAUUUCUCUUCUUUCAAAAGCAAAUGGGAGAAAUAUGGCUGAAUUCCUUUUCUCAGCAAGGAACAUCCCUGAGAAAGAGAAUACGCACCUGGAGAUAUAGGCCUAUGAACGGCCCCCCCAGGUGCACCUGUCUUUUAUGGUCAAGACUGCAGGGGUGAAAUAAACCCCAGUCUCCCAUAGCACUCCCAGGCUUAUUAGGAAGAGGAAAUUCCCACCUAAUAAUUUUGGUCAGACCGGUUGCUCUCAAAACCCUGUCUCCUGAUAAGAUGUUAUCAAUGACUAUGGUGCCCGAAUCUUCAUUAGCAAUUUUAAUUUCACCUUGGUCCUGUGGUCCUGUGAUCUCGCCCUGCCUCCACUUGCCUUGUGAUAUUCUAUUACCUUGUAAAGUACUUGAUGUCUGUGACCCACACCCUAUUCGUAUACUCCCUCCCCUUUUGAAACUCCCUAAUAAAAACUUGCUGGUUUAACGGCUUGUGGGGCAUCACAGAAUCUACCGACAUGUGAUGUCUCCCCCGGACGCCCAGCUUUAAAAUUUCU